UGCGUCUGCCGAGAGUGAAAGAGAAAUAGUGCACAUAUUGGGUUGUUUUAUAUUUUAUUUAUUAUCUUGUGCAUAUGCUUUUUAUAAUACAAAUUAAAAGUGAUGUGCGUGGUGUGUGCAUAUAUUUUAUGUAAAAUAUGACAAUGAAACGAAAGACAUUGCAUGAUUAAGCUGGUUCCAUCCAUGUGGUUCAUUUAUGAUGUCCUCAGCCUGCCCAUAGGUUUCUUUCAUUUUCGUUUCAGUUCCAAGACCAUUCUGGAUAAGACAAAACAAAAUACUGGGACCUUGCGAGAUGCAUCUCAAAGAAUCGUUAAAUAACAGAAUAAUAUUGGGGUUCUUAUGAUAUUAAAGAUGUCUUGGGUGGUCUUUAUGAUGCCGUGUGGACUUGUAGCUGCAUGAGCAUGGUGCAUAUCUGGUGGAUUCCCUCAUUGAAAUCAAAUGAGAUGAUGAAAGAUUGGGAGUGUAUGACAGACUUGCUGCUAGAGGAACCAGGACCGUCAGAAGAAGCAUUGGAUGGCUGAGAGGAAACCAGUCUCAUAGAGAUCAUGGUGUGUUGUAUUCACCAGGCUGGUACAGGAGAGCCGCCACUUGGUCGAGGACCUACACAUAAGGCAAGGAAAGUGGGGGCUCGGCAAUGUGAGAAUGAAUCAAAAGAGUACAAGUUAGUGGCUGAAUUAAGGAUGUGGUUAAAGGAUGCCAAAAGAAGGUUGGAACAAGCAGAUGGAGGUAGUACCUAUUCUUUAUAGCGCUGUAAUCGUUUGCCGAGUUCAAAACAUACGACACUGUUCUUCAAUGUAUGCCAUUUUGUAGGCUUUCGAGGAGGAGUUUUAAAAGAAAGGGAAAAGAGAUUGCAAGACUGAAUGAGAAAUGUACAGAACUUCAGAGAUUGAAAAUUGGUUGUGGUGAUACUGAGCGUACAGUUACAAAAAUAAACGAUGUACGUGGACAGUUUCAACAUUUCCAGAAAGACUCUAAGGAGAAGAUUGUUCAUGACGGCAAAGUGUCUACUUGUGGAAAUUCUGUUGGAGAUUUUGUUUAUUUAUUUAAAUGUCUGUGUGUAGCAUCUCAUAAUUAAAUGCUCUAUUAUCUGUU